CCACUUUUGGCCUACAUAGUGGAGGGCCUAAAGCGCGCCUACCCAACCCCACUCCGUCUCGAAUUCCAUGGGCGAGCUCAUCCCCAAGCUCGCUCACGGCGACGACCAAAUCUGCCACAACCCUCCUCCACACCAAAAAAACUAGCGACGGUUACAGCUGCUCCACCUCGCCGGUGCGGCGUCCUACCCCUGCUCCGGCGAUCCGUGAUCUCAACACACUCAGCCUGGCCCCCUUCUCCACCAAGGGUCCCCGCUAGAUUAAUCCCGUUACCAUCGCUCCCACCUCGUCGGUGCGCCGUAUCGGAUCGGCAAAGACUGCAUGUGAAUCCCUGGCCUAGCCCCCCUGGAAGCACAUAAGAAAUUCGUAAGAAGCAGCAUCGCACCUUCGGGUAGUAGGAAGCAAAUAACAAGUUAGCAAGAAGCAGCACGUGCGUGCACAUGGCGAUGGGACAAGUCCUUGUCUUUUGCUUGCAAUUUGUGUCACUGUGGUAGAUGAUGCGCUGCUUCCUGACCACCACAGAAGCAAAGCAUAUAUUUAACUGAGACAUAUAUUCAUCACUGUGGAAACAUUCCCCAUGUUAUUUGAAAUAAAUAUUUUUAGUGAAAAAAAUCUAUAAUUGUAUGAAAGCGAUCCCCUAGUCUAUGGAAAUAGUAUCACAAUGAUUUGAAAGCAAAA